rnacentral:rRNA from 1 species
GCUGGCGGCGUGGCUAACACAUGCAAGUCGCACGAGAAAGUGGAGCAAUCCGUGAGUAAAGUGGCGUACGGGUGAGUAACACGUGACUAACCUACCCUCGAGUGGGGAAUAACUUCGGGAAACCGAGGCUAAUACCGCAUAACAUCUUUUGGUUGAGUUACCGAUUGAUCAAACCAGUAAUGGGCUUGAGGAGGGGGUCGCGGCUGAUUAGCUAGUUGGUGGGGUAACGGCCCACCAAGGCGAUGAUCAGUAGCCGGCCUGAGAGGGCGCACGGCCACACUGGAACUGAAACACGGUCCAGACUCCUACGGGAGGCAGCAGUGGGGAAUUUUGCGCAAUGGGGGAAACCCUGACGCAGCAACGCCGCGUGGAGGAUGAAGUCCCUUGGGACGUAAACUCCUUUCGAUCGGGACGAUUAUGACGGUACCGGAAGAAGAAGCCCCGGCUAACUUCGUGCCAGCAG